rnacentral:rRNA from 1 species
UUCCGGUUGAUCCUGCCGGACCCUACUGCUAUCGGGGUAAGACUAAAACAUGCAAGUUGUGCGUCUCGAACUAUGGCGAGGCGCGGCGUACGGCUCAGUAACACGUGGCUAACCUGCCCUUGGGACGGAAAUAACUCCGGGAAACUGGGGCUAAUGUCUGAUAUGUGAUGAGAUCUGGAACGAUUCAUCUCUUAAAGAGCGUUGAAACCAUGUUUUUCAAUGUUGCCCAAGGAUGGGGCCGCGGCCGAUCAGGUUGUUGGUGAGGUAACGGCUCACCAAGCCUUUUACCGGUACGGGCUGUGAGAGCAGAAGCCCGGAGAUGGGCACUGAGACAAGGGCCCAGGCCCUAUGGGGCGCAGCAGUUGCGAAACCUCCGCAAUGCGCGAAAGCGUGACGGGGUUACCCUGAGUGCUAUCCGAUGAGGAUGGCUUUUCUUCGGUGUAAUGAGCCGGAGGAAUAAGGGGGGGGCAAGACUGGUGUCAGCCGCCGCGGUAAUACCAGCUCCCCGAGUGGUAGGGACAAUUAUUGGGCUUAAAGCGUCCGUAGCCGGCUUAGCAAGUCCUCCGUUAAAUCCAGCGGCUUAACCGCUGGGCCGCGGAGGAUACUGUUAUAGCUUGGGGACGGGAGAGGCUAAUGGUAUUCUCGGGGUAGGGGUGAAAUCCUAUAAUCCCGGGAGGACCACCAGUGGCGAAGGCGAUUAGCUAGAACGCGCUCGACGGUGAUGGACGAAAGCUGGGGGAGCGAACCGGAUUAGAUACCCGGGUAGUCCCAGCUGUAAACGAUGCAUGCUAGGUGUUGAGGCGGUUAUAAACCGCUUCGGUGCCGCAGGGAAACCGUUAAGCUUGCCGCCUGGGAAGUACGGCCGCAAGGCUGAAACUUAAAGGAAUUGGCGGGGGAGCACUACAGGCGUGAAGCUUGCGUUCAAUUGGAGUCAACGCGGA